CUUCCGCUUGGUCUAUGUGGACUGAUGAAAUGUAGGAAAUCUGUUUCUGGCAGGGGGAGAAAUCGUUUUCCCAAACAGCACCAAGAGGAGCCAUCAGAGAAGUAUGAAGAGGGGCAGUGCGUCUGCAGCUGCUGCCACUGCCGCCGGGCUGGUGGGGUGCGGGGAACCGCUGCUGCAGGACCUGCUCCUGGAGGGGCCCGGCCCCGAGAAGCCGCAGGAGCCCAGCCCAGAGCUCGGGCGCCUCUGAGAUCCGCCAGCAGCCCAGCUCCGGACGCGGGGGAAUUACAAGUGGAUAAAUAAUGUGCACUGCUCUGAGCCCAAAGGUACGCAGUGGACCUGGCCUCUCUGAUAUGCAUCAGUAUAGCCAAUGGCUGGCCAGCAGACAUGAAGCUAAUUUGCUACCGAUGAAAGAAGAUCUGGCCUUGUGGUUAACCAACCUGUUAGGUAAGG